rnacentral:rRNA from 1 species
GCGAAGAGGUCACACCCGUUCCCAUGCCGAACACGGAAGUUAAGCUCUUCAGCGCCGAUGGUAGUUGGGGGCUUCCCCCUGCGAGAGUAGGAC